AUUGAACGCUGGCGGCAGGCCUAACACAUGCAAGUCGAACGCGUGGCGGACGGGUGAGUAAUGUCUGGGAAACUGCCUGAUGGAGGGGGAAAACUACUGGAAACGGUAUCUAAUACAGCAUACCAUCAGAUGUGCCCAGAUGGGACUAGCUAGUUUGGGGGGUAACGGCUCACCAAGGCGACGAUCCCUAGCUGGUCUGAGAGGAUGAACAGCCACACUGCAACUGAGACACGGUCCAGACGUCUACGGGAGGCAGCAGUGGAGAAUAUUGCGCAGUGGGCGCAAGCCUUAUGCUGCCAUGCCGCGUGUAUGAAGAAGGCCUUCGGGUUGUAAAGUACUUUCAGCGGGGAGGCGUUACCCGCAGAAGAAGCACCGGCUAACUCCGUGCCAGCAGCCGCGGUAAUUC
rnacentral:rRNA from 1 species